UAAGUUUUUAUUUCAUACACUAAACUAAACUGUUUUUGAAUUUCCAGUUAAAAUUAUAUACAAGCCAAACAAUUUUUCGGUUCAGUAGAGGGCAUAAAAAACAAAUCAGUCAUCUGUUGAUUCUCUUCGAGUCCCAGCCUCGGAGGUCAACAAUGAUGUUUGGACGAUAAAGAAUCUAAGCUCAAAUAGCCUGAGAUAAGAAGGGCGAGGGCUUCAAUUCAAUUCAAUUCAAUUCCUUUUUAGGCUUUGUUUCCCAUGCGUUUGAGGACAGGCCCGGGCGAUCCUGAAGCCCCUUGGUGCGAGAUCAUAGAGCCUAUUUCAUGAUAUAGGCCGUGUAUGAGACGACUGCGCCCAUCUCUUAUAGGAGCUACCCAACCACUACCCAACUUUAUUUCAUGCUUAUCUGUUUGACUACUUACUUGACGAUUAUCUAAAUCCACUUUAUUGCCCAGCACGACAAAGGGGAAAUGCUCUGGAUCCCGCGGACUGGCCUGUAUUAAGAAUUCAUCGCGCCACGAGUCUAAAUUCUUGAAUGAGUUUGGCGCCGUCACAUCGUAGACGAGCACGCAACAAUCGGCGCCCCGGUAGAAGGCCACGCCAAGUGAUUGGAAGCGCUCCUGGCCAGCCGUGUCCCAAAUCUAGGAAGCAAUCAAAACGAUCAAUAAACAAUUUCGAACAA